UUACUCCUAGGGGGGCAGCAGUCGGGAAUAUUGCGCAAUGGAGGAAACUCUGACGCAGUGACGCCGCGUAUAGGAAGAAGGUUUUCGGAUUGUAAACUAUUGUCAUCAGGGAAGAUAAAAGACAGUACCUGAGGAGGAAGCUCCGGCUAACUAUGUGCCAGCAGCCGCGGUAAUACAUAGGGAGCAAGCGUUAUCCGGAUUUAUUGGGUGUAAAGGGUGCGUAGACGGGAAAGCAAGUUAGUUGUGAAAUCCCUCGGCUUAACUGAGGAACUGCAAUUAAAACUGUUUUUCUUGAGUGUCGGAGA
rnacentral:rRNA from 1 species